rnacentral:rRNA from 1 species
AGAGUUUGAUCCUGGCUCAGAAUCAACGCUGGCGGCGUGCCUCAGACAUGCAAGUCGAACGAUUAAACUCGUCUUCGGACGAGAUAUAAAGUGGCGCACGGGUGAGUAACACGUAGGUAAUCUACCUUUGAGUGGGGAAUAACUUAGGGAAACUUAAGCUAAUACCGCAUAAUGCAGCGGCACCUUCGGGUGACAGUUGUUAAAGGAGCAAUCCGCUUAAAGAGGAGCCUGCGGCAGAUUAGCUAGUUGGUAAGGUAAUGGCUUACCAAGGCUACGAUCUGUAACCGACCUGAGAGGGUGGUCGGUCACACUGACACUGAAUAACGGGUCAGACUCCUACGGGAGGCAGCAGUCGGGAAUUUUGGGCAAUGGGCGAAAGCCUGACCCAGCAACGCCGCGUGAAGGAUGAAGUAUUUCGGUAUGUAAACUUCGAAAGAAUGGGAAGAAUAAAUGACGGUACCAUUUAUAAGGUCCGGCUAACUACGUGCCAGCAGCCGCGGUAAUACGUAGGGACCAAGCGUUGUUCGGAUUUACUGGGCGUAAAGGGCGCGUAGGCGGCGUGUUAAGUCAGCUGUGAAAUCUCCGAGCUUAACUCGGAACGGUCAGCUGAUACUGAUGUGCUAGAGUGCAGAAGGGGCAAUCGGAAUUCUUGGUGUAGCGGUGAAAUGCGUAGAUAUCAAGAGGAACACCUGAGGUGAAGACGGGUUGCUGGGCUGACACUGACGCUGAGGCGCGAAAGCUAGGGUAGCAAACGGGAUUAGAUACCCCCGUAGUCC